rnacentral:lncRNA from 1 species
GCUGUGCGAACAAAGUUAUAUUUUUAGUGGCAUUGCUGUUGUCAUCUGGUACCCAUGCGGUCCUCUCCGCAGGAAACAUUUUGUCCCAUCUCAUUGAUCAGCCUCUAUUGAGCACAUGCAGUGUUAAUGGCAAUUUAGUAUCAAUUAACGCGGCGGACCUGAAAUUUGUCGUUCCUUAGAAACCGGUGUUUUAGGAGAAACACGAUAAAACUUAGAUGAUGGCGAGUAUUGCUCUCAAGUGCGUAUC